AAAUUGAAGAGUUUGAUCAUGGCUCAGAUUGAACGCUGGCGGCAGGCCUAACACAUGCAAGUCGAACGGUAACAGGAAGCAGCUUGCUGCUUUGCUGACGAGUGGCGGACGGGUGAGUAAUGUCUGGGAAACUGCCUGAUGGAGGGGGAUAACUACUGGAAACGGUGGCUAAUACCGCAUAACGUCGCAAGACCAAAGAGGGGGACCUUCGGGCCUCUUGCCAUCAGAUGUGCCCAGAUGGGAUUAGCUUGUUGGUGAGGUAACGGCUCACCAAGGCGACGAUCCCUAGCUGGUCUGAGAGGAUGACCAGCCACACUGGAACUGAGACACGGUCCAGACUCCUACGGGAGGCAGCAGUGGGGAAUAUUGCACAAUGGGCGCAAGCCUGAUGCAGCCAUGCCGCGUGUAUGAAGAAGGCCUUCGGGUUGUAAAGUACUUUCAGCGGGGAGGAAGGUGUUGUGGUUAAUAACCGCAGCAAUUGACGUUACCCGCAGAAGAAGCACCGGCUAACUCCGUGCCAGCAGCCGCGGUAAUACGGAGGGUGCAAGCGUUAAUCGGAAUUACUGGGCGUAAAGCGCACGCAGGCGGUCUGUCAAGUCGGAUGUGAAAUCCCCGGGCUCAACCUGGGAACUGCAUUCGAAACUGGCAGGCUUGAGUCUUGUAGAGGGGGGUAGAAUUCCAGGUGUAGCGGUGAAAUGCGUAGAGAUCUGGAGGAAUACCGGUGGCGAAGGCGGCCCCCUGGACAAAGACUGACGCUCAGGUGCGAAAGCGUGGGGAGCAAACAGGAUUAGAUACCCUGGUAGUCCACGCCGUAAACGAUGUCUACUUGGAGGUUGUGCCCUUGAGGCGUGGCUUCCGGAGCUAACGCGUUAAGUAGACCGCCUGGGGAGUACGGCCGCAAGGUUAAAACUCAAAUGAAUUGACGGGGGCCCGCACAAGCGGUGGAGCAUGUGGUUUAAUUCGAUGCAACGCGAAGAACCUUACCUGGUCUUGACAUCCACGGAAGAAUUCAGAGAUGGAUUUGUGCCUUCGGGAACCGUGAGACAGGUGCUGCAUGGCUGUCGUCAGCUCGUGUUGUGAAAUGUUGGGUUAAGUCCCGCAACGAGCGCAACCCUUAUCCUUUGUUGCCAGCGAUUAGGUCGGGAACUCAAAGGAGACUGCCAGUGAUAAACUGGAGGAAGGUGGGGAUGACGUCAAGUCAUCAUGGCCCUUACGACCAGGGCUACACACGUGCUACAAUGGCGCAUACAAAGAGAAGCGACCUCGCGAGAGCAAGCGGACCUCAUAAAGUGCGUCGUAGUCCGGAUUGGAGUCUGCAACUCGACUCCAUGAAGUCGGAAUCGCUAGUAAUCGUGGAUCAGAAUGCCACGGUGAAUACGUUCCCGGGCCUUGUACACACCGCCCGUCACACCAUGGGAGUGGGUUGCAAAAGAAGUAGGUAGCUUAACCUUCGGGAGGGCGCUUACCACUUUGUGAUUCAUGACUGGGGUGAAGUCGUAACAAGGUAACCGUAGGGGAACCUGCGGUUGGAUCACCUCCUUACCUUAAAGAAGC
rnacentral:rRNA from 2 species